rnacentral:rRNA from 1 species
UCGAUGAAGAACGCAGCGAAAUGCGAUAAGUAAUGUGAAUUGCAGAAUUCAGUGAAUCAUCGAAUCUUUGAACGCAUCUUGCGCUCCUUGGUAUUCCGAGGAGCAUGCCUGUUUGAGUGUCAUCAAAAAUUCUCAAACCAUGCUGGUUCUUCUGGCAUGGCUUGGAUUUGGGGGUCUGCAGGCUUAAAGUCGGCUCCCCUGAAAAGGAUUAGCGGUAUCUGAGCAGACACGGCGUGAUAAUUAUCUAUGCUGUUGGCAUGCGCAAGAAUCCUGCUUCUAAACCCGAGUGUUGAAAAAUUUGACCUCAAAUCAGGUAGGACUACCCGCUGAACUUAA